rnacentral:rRNA from 1 species
AGAGUUUGAUCAUGGCUCAGAACGAACGCUGGCGGCGUGGCUAAGGCAUGCAAGUCGAACGGUACGGUAUAGCAAUAUGCCGUAUAGUGGCGGACGGGUGAGUAAUACAUGGAUAACGUACCUCGGAUUCAGGGAUAACAGCGGGGCAACCCUUUGCGAAAGUGCUGCUAAUACCUGAUGACCCCUCGGAAUCGCAUGAUUCUGCGGGCAAAGUUCCGGCGAUCCGAGAUCGGUCCAUGUCCUAUCAGCUAGUUGGUGAGGUAACGGCUCACCAAGGCUUUGACGGGUAUCGGGUAUGAGAGUACGACCCGACACAUCGGAACUGAGACACUGUCCGGACACCUACGGGUGGCUGCAGCAACGAAUAUUCCGCAAUGGGGGCAACCCUGACGGAGCGACGCCGCGUGCAGGAUGAAGUCCCUCGGGAUGUAAACUGCUUUCAGGGGGAAGAAAUUUUGAUCUACCCCAGAAGAAGCCUCGGCUAACUUCGUGCCAGCAGCCGCGGUAAUACGAAGGAGGCAAGCGUUGUUCGGAAUCACUGGGCUUAAAGCGCGUGUAGGCGGGGUGAAAGGUACCUUGUGAAAUCCCUUGGCUCAACUGAGGAAUUGCUUGGUAAACCGGCACUCUUGAGGCAGGUAGAGGUGGGCGGAACCAUGGGUGGAGCGGUGAAAUGCGUAGAGAUCCAUGGGAACACCGGUGGCGAAAGCGGCCCACUAGGCCUGAUCUGACGCUGAGACGCGAGAGCGUGGGUAGCAAACAGGAUUAGAUACCCUGGUAGUCCACGCUGUAAACGAUGCGCACUAGAUACGAGGAACUCUGACGUUAUUCGUAUCGCAAUAAAAACGUUAAGUGCGCCGCCUGGGGAGUACGGCCGCAAGGCUAAAACUCAAAGGAAUUGACGGGGGCUCACACAAGCGGUGGAGCAUGUGGAUUAAUUCGAAGCAACGCGAAGGACCUUACCUGGGUUUGACAUGUACGGAUGCUCUGGUUGAAAGAUCAGUAGGCUGCCUUCGGGUGAAACGUGCACAGGUGCUGCAUGGCUGUCGUCAGCUCGUGCUGUGAAGUGUCGGGUUAAGUCCCUUAACGAGCGAAACCCUUAUCGCUAGUUGCCAGCGGGUCAUGCCGGGAACUCUAGCGAGACUGCCGGCGUUAAGCCGGAGGAAGGCGGGGACGACGUCAAGUCAUCAUGGCCUUUAUGUCCAGGGUGUCACACGUGCUACAAUGGACGCUACAGAGCGACGCGAGACCGUGAGGUGGAGCAAAUCGCAGAAAGGCGUCCCCAGUUCGGAUUGAAGUCUGCAACUCGACUUCAUGAAGUUGGAAUCGCUAGUAAUCGCGUAUCAGCCAUGACGCGGUGAAUGUGUUCCUGAGCCUUGUACACACCGCCCGUCAAGUCAUGGGAGCUGGGAGCACCCGAAGUCCGUUUAGCUAACCGCAAGGGGGCGACGGCCGACGGUGAGCUCGGUGACUGGGACUAAGUCGUAACAAGGUAGCCGUAGGGGAACCUGCGGAUGGAUCACCUCCUU